AAAAUAACGGAGCAGUGAAAGCAACGCUCUGAAAGAUCAAAACCCGACAUGAUCUAAGCUGGAUCGCCUUUAUGACAGUGGUGGGGGUUUCUGCCCAGUUUAGAAGCACAGCUUUGCAAUGUUUUCUUUGCUCUUCUGUUGCAUUUUUGCUGAAUCACGGAUAAAGCUGUUGUUCCAAUUUUAAAAUACAUCCAGAGGAGAUUUACAUGCGCUUAUUUGUUGAUAGGCCAAGCUGUUUUAUUACAUAAGACUUAGCAAAUGAAAAGUAAAAAACAGUCUGUCAAAGAAGAGGUUUUUUGUAAGCUACUUUUUAAUCACGGCAUUACUUGACAUUCAGUCAGCAUGACGAUUACAUUUUCCUUCUC